UACGGAGGGGGCGAGUGUUGUUCGGAAUUACUGGGCGUAAAGAGUGUGUAGGCGGUGCUCUAAGUUCGGUGUGAAAUCUCCUGGCUUAACUGGGAGGGUGCGCCGGAAACUGGAGUGCUUGAGCGUGGGAGAGGAAAGCGGAAUUCCUGGUGUAGCGGUGAAAUGCGUAGAUAUCAGGAGGAACACCUGUGGUGUAGACGGCUUUCUGGACCAUUGCUGACGCUGAGACACGAAAGCGUGGGUAGCAAACAGG
rnacentral:rRNA from 1 species